GAUGAACGCUAGCUACAGGCUUAACACAUGCAGGUCGCGGGGCAGCAUGGGGGUUGCUUGCCAUCCCCGAUGGCGACCGGCGCACGGGUGAGUAACGCGUAUCCAACCUGCCCUUCACCACGGGAUAACCCGGCGAAAGUCGGACUAAUACCGUAUGUUGUCCAUUGACGGCAUCCGAUUUGGACGAAAGGCUUGGCGGUGAGGGAUGGGGAUGCGUCCGAUUAGCCAGACGGCGGGGUAACGGCCCACCGUGGCUACGAUCGGUAGGGGUUCUGAGAGGAAGGUCCCCCACACUGGAACUGAGACACGGUCCAGACUCCUACGGGAGGCAGCAGUGAGGAAUAUUGGUCAAUGGGCGUAAGCCUGAACCAGCCAAGUAGCGUGCAGGAUGACGGCCCUAUGGGUUGUAAACUGCUUUUAUGCGGGGAUAAAGUGGCCCACGUGUGGGCUUUUGCAGGUACCGCAUGAAUAAGGACCGGCUAAUUCCGUG
rnacentral:rRNA from 1 species